GGUUCUGAAUGGAAGGGCCAUCGCUCAACGGAUAAAAGGUACUCCGGGGAUAACAGGCUGAUACCGCCCAAGAGUUCAUAUCGACGGCGGUGUUUGGCACCUCGAUGUCGGCUCAUCACAUCCUGGGGCUGAAGUAGGUCCCAAGGGUAUGGCUGUUCGCCAUUUAAAGUGGUACGCGAGCUGGGUUUAGAACGUCGUGAGACAGUUCGGUCCCUAUCUGCCGUGGGCGUUGGAAGAUUGAGAGGGGCUGCUCCUAGUACGAGAGGACCGGAGUGGACGAAUCACUGGUGUUCGGGUUGUCAUGCCAAUGGCAUUGCCCGGUAGCUAAAUUCGGAAGAGAUAACCGCUGAAAGCAUCUAAGCGGGAAACUUGCCUCGAGAUGAGUCUUCCCUGGGACUUAAAGUCCCCUGAAGGAACGUUAAAGACUAUGACGUUGAUAGGCUGGGUGUGUAAGUGCAGCGAUGUAUUGAGCUAACCAGUACUAAUGAUCCGUGAGGCUUAACCUUACAACACCGAAGGUGUUU
rnacentral:rRNA from 1 species